GAGAUGAUAAAACUGAAUUGCAAUGGUUUUUAAACGGUUUAAAGAAUAGUCUAUGCUACUUAUUUUAGCUAAACGAUAAUGAUUUGAAAUAUCAAAAUAUAUUUUUAUUUAUCACUUACGUACCAUAUAACCUGGUGCAGAGAUGAUAAAAAGUUGUCGGAGUUGUAAAUACAUAAAUACUUAGUGUUGAAUUUGAUCUAAAAUCG
rnacentral:lncRNA from 1 species